ACACGACUACAUUAGAUACCCCUGUAGUCCUAGCCGUAAACGAUACUCGCUAGGUGUCGGCCACGGUGCGACCGUUGUCGGUGCCGUAGGGAAGCCGUGAAGCGAGCCACCUGGGAAGUACGGCCGCAAGGCUGAAACUUAAAGGAAUUGGCGGGGGAGCACCACAACGGGUGGAGCUUGCGGUUUAAUUGGAUUCAACGCCGGAAUCUUACCGGGACCGACAGCAACAUGAAGGCCAGGCUGAAGACUUUGCCGGAUUAGCUG
rnacentral:rRNA from 1 species